rnacentral:lncRNA from 1 species
GGGUACGUACGUGAUGCAUGAAAUUACAGGCGCCAUGCAGGUGCCUGCAUGGCGCGCGCCUGAAAUUUAAGUUGGAUUAGUCCCAGUUGGUUUUACCAACCGGGAGUAAAGGGCCUACCCCGUGCCUGGCGUGGCAGGCCCUUUUAUCUUAGUUGGUUUUACCAAUUGGGACUAAAGGGUGGCUUUACUCCCGGUUGAAGGAUCCGAGACUAAAGACCCCCCUUUUGUCUCGAUUGGUUUAUCCCGGAUGGAUUUUCGGAAGAUAUGCACCCUACCAACCAGGACUAAAGGCGAGUUCUCUACUAGUG